rnacentral:rRNA from 1 species
GACGAACGCUGGCGGCGUGCUUAACACAUGCAAGUCGAACGGAAAGGCCCUGAUUUUGCGGGGCGCUCGUUUGGCGAACGCGGGAGUAACACGCGUGUAACCUGCCCCUGACUUUGGGGGAACUUCAGGAAACUGCGGCUAAUACCGGAUAGGAUCUCCUGCUGCACGGUGGGGGUUGGAAAGUUACGGCGGUAGGGGAUGGAUGAGCGGGUUAUCGGCUUGUUGGUGGGGUAGUGGUUGUCCAAGUGUUUGACGGGUAGCCGGCCUGAGAGGGUGACCGGCCACAAGGGGACUGAGAGAGGGAGCAGAAGGCUACGGGCGGCAGCAGUCGAGAGUAUUACGCAAUGGGGGGACGCGAGAUGCAGCGGUGUCGCGUGCGGGAAGACCGGCUUCGGGUGGUAAACAGCUUUCGACGGUGCCGAGGAGUGCGUGACGGUACUUGGUAAGGAAGCCCCGGCUAACUACGUG